rnacentral:rRNA from 1 species
UAAGUACCCCGAGGAAAAGAAAUCAACCGAGAUUCCCCCAGUAGCGGCGAGCGAACGGGGAGCAGCCCAGAGCCUGAAUCAGUGUGUGUGUUAGUGGAAGCGUCUGGAAAGGCGCGUGAUACAGGGUGACAGCCCCGUACACAAAAAUGCACAUGCUGUGAGCUCGAUGAGUAGGGCGGGACACGUGGUAUCCUGUCUGAAUAUGGGGGGACCAUCCUCCAAGGCUAAAUACUCCUGACUGACCGAUAGUGAACCAGUACCGUGAGGGAAAGGCGAAAAGAACCCCGGCGAGGGGAGUGAAAAAGAACCUGAAACCGUGUACGUACAAGCAGUGGGAGCACGCUUAGGCGUGUGACUGCGUACCUUUUGUAUAAUGGGUCAGCGACUUAUAUUCUGUAGCAAGGUUAACCGAAUAGGGGAGCCGAAGGGAAACCGAGUCUUAACUGGGCGUUAAGUUGCAGGGUAUAGACCCGAAACCCGGUGAUCUAGCCAUGGGCAGGUUGAAGGUUGGGUAACACUAACUGGAGGACCGAACCGACUAAUGUUGAAAAAUUAGCGGAUGACUUGUGGCUGGGGGUGAAAGGCCAAUCAAACCGGGAGAUAGCUGGUUCUCCCCGAAAGCUAUUUAGGUAGCGCCUCGUGAAUUCAUCUCCGGGGGUAGAGCACUGUUUCGGCAAGGGGGUCAUCCCGACUUACCAACCCGAUGCAAACUGCGAAUACCGGAGAAUGUUAUCACGGGAGACACACGGCGGGUGCUAACGUCCGUCGUGAAGAGGGAAACAACCCAGACCGCCAGCUAAGGUCCCAAAGUCAUGGUUAAGUGGGAAACGAUGUGGGAAGGCCCAGACAGCCAGGAUGUUGGCUUAGAAGCAGCCAUCAUUUAAAGAAAGCGUAAUAGCUCACUGGUCGAGUCGGCCUGCGCGGAAGAUGUAACGGGGCUAAACCAUGCACCGAAGCUGCGGCAGCGACGCUUAUGCGUUGUUGGGUAGGGGAGCGUUCUGUAAGCCUGUGAAGGUGUACUGUGAGGUAUGCUGGAGGUAUCAGAAGUGCGAAUGCUGACAUAAGUAACGAUAAAGCGGGUGAAAAGCCCGCUCGCCGGAAGACCAAGGGUUCCUGUCCAACGUUAAUCGGGGCAGGGUGAGUCGACCCCUAAGGCGAGGCCGAAAGGCGUAGUCGAUGGGAAACAGGUUAAUAUUCCUGUACUUGGUGUUACUGCGAAGGGGGGACGGAGAAGGCUAUGUUGGCCGGGCGACGGUUGUCCCGGUUUAAGCGUGUAGGCUGGUUUUCCAGGCAAAUCCGGAAAAUCAAGGCUGAGGCGUGAUGACGAGGCACUACGGUGCUGAAGCAACAAAUGCCCUGCUUCCAGGAAAAGCCUCUAAGCAUCAGGUAACAUCAAAUCGUACCCCAAACCGACACAGGUGGUCAGGUAGAGAAUACCAAGGCGCUUGAGAGAACUCGGGUGAAGGAACUAGGCAAAAUGGUGCCGUAACUUCGGGAGAAGGCACGCUGAUAUGUAGGUGAAGUCCCUCGCGGAUGGAGCUGAAAUCAGUCGAAGAUACCAGCUGGCUGCAACUGUUUAUUAAAAACACAGCACUGUGCAAACACGAAAGUGGACGUAUACGGUGUGACGCCUGCCCGGUGC